rnacentral:rRNA from 1 species
GCCAGCAGCCAUGUCACCCUGCAACUUACAAUUGGCAGCCCACUGAAGCUAAGCAGGUGUGAGCCUGGUCAGUACCUGGACGGGAGACCUCCUGGGAAAAACUAAGGUUGCUGCUGGAA